rnacentral:ncRNA from 1 species
UUUGAGUUUUAUUCUUGCUUAGAGCUGUUUAUUUUAACAUUAAUCUAUAUGUGAAUUUUUGUAUUUUUAAAAUUUCUUGAUGAAAUUUGUUAUAGGAUAAAUAUAUUAUGCAGUAGAUAAUAUUAUUAAUAUUAAGUUAAUUUAGAUUUGGUAAAUGUUAUUAGAUUUGGUAAAAGUUGUGCCAGCAUCCGCGGUUAUACAACAAAAUCAAAUAAACAUUAUUAGUUUUGAAGUAAUUAACAUUUAAAUUUAUAAAUAGGAGUUGAAAUAUAUUUAAGGUGAAAUAUGUUAAUAUAUUUUAGAUUAUAUUUAUGUAGUGUGAUUAUUAUGAAAUUGAAUUUAUAAACUAGGAUUAGAUACCCUAUUAUUUUUAUUGUAAAAUUUGUAUAAGCUGGAGUAUUAGUAGUUAUGGUCUUGAAACUUAAAGAAUUUGGCGGUAUUAUAGUCUAUUUAGAGGAAUCUGUUAUGUAAUUGAUAGUCCACGUUGAACCUUACUUAUUUUAUUUUUUGUAUACCUCUGUUUAAGAGUAUACUUUUAGGUGAAUUUUCUAAAUAUAAGAGUAUUUAAAAUUUCAAGUCAAGGUGCAAUAAUAUAUAAGUUGAAUAAUGGAUUACAAUAAAUUUUAUUUAAAUGGAUUAUUAUUGAAAUAUGAUUAUGAAGGUGGAUUUAAUUGUAAUUUUAUGAAGAUUAUUAAAAUGAUUUAUAGCUCUAUAAUAUGUACACAUCGCCCGUCACUCUCGUUAUUAAGAUGAGAUAAGUCGUAACAAAGUAGAUGUAUCGGAAGAUGUAUCUAGAAAGUUAAAU